AAAUCAAAAUCAUCUGACCUUAUAUGAAAAUACAACUACCCUCCAUGUGUUGAUUAACCAAAUAUUUUGGUUCAGUUUUAUUUCACCAAGGUGUUGUUAUAGAUUGAUCCUUAGAAUCAAUAAAUAAAUGAAAUAGAACCUGUCUGGCAGCACCAAGUAGGCUAAAAGUAAAAAAGCAAAACUACAAAUACUCUGGGGAUUUCUAGAUGCAUCAAGGUACCACACCUAUCUGUUCAAACUAUUAUAUGCCAUUAUAAACGCCAUGGGAAUGUUCUGCCAUGAUACCAUUCAAGAAGGGGACACGAUCCUUGUCCCAGAUGAACAUAUUUUGGUGCAAAAUGUGCAUACCAACCGAUAAUAAAGCGAAAAGACUUUGUGAAGAUGCUGGCUGAAGGUGGUAAGAGAGAAACAAGACCUGUACCGACAUGGACUGAAAGGCCGCUAAGAGGUGAAGUACGGCUGAAAUAUGGGGGUGGCAGUACCAUGUGCAUGGGGUGGUUUUGCACUUUACAAAAUAGAUAGCAUCAUAAGAAAAAAACAUUAUUUGGAAAUAUUAAGCAACGUAUUAGGAUAUCAACCAGAAAGUUAAAGCUUGAGGAAAAAUGGGUCUUCCAAAUCCACGACAACUAUAAGCAUACCACCAUAUCAGUACAACAAAGUCAAUAUUUUGUAGCGGCCACCACAAAGCCCGGAUCUCAGUCCCUCAGAACAUUUAUGGGCAGAGCUGAAAAGAUGAAUGAGAGCAAUGCAGCCUACAAACCUGACUCAGUUACCCAAGUUCAACUUUCUGGGAGAAAGUUAUGGAACGAUACCCAAAACAUUUAACUCAAGUCAUAGGUUAAGGUUCUAAGCAAACUGUACCAAAUACUAAGUAAAUUAAUGUUAACUUUCAGUUCAGAAUUGAAAGAAAAAUAAUCAAAAACGUCUCUUAUUAUUAAGGAACUGUUUCUAUUUCUGUCCUAACAGAUCUAAAACAGCCGACGUUUUGUCCCUUUUAAUGCUAGUGAGGAAAAAAGCUAUGUGUCAUUUCAUUAACUGCUGCAACCUUUUAUGAUCUUAAUAUUAAAUAAAUUCCAUUAUAUCUUAAAUCAUGUUCCAAUCAGAACUUAAUGAGGUGGGUUUAAAGUUAAAGUGUCAGCUACCAUUUCUUUGUAGCCUAAUUUGAAAAUGAAACUUGAGGGUUUUGUGAAACAAAACAAGUUGUGGCAAUGAACACACAAACACACACACACACUGGGAGACAUACGAGCGAGUACUGGAGGAGGUUACUCCUGAACGAUAUAAACCAGAUCUGUGUUUUCCCUCCAAUGCUGUUUUAAAUUGCUGAAUUACUUUUUGACAUUUCAGAAUAGAGAGUGGCUUGCACCAGAACCAUGAAAGACUUGUUCCUCAUUUUUACUCUGCUGAGCCUAUUAUGCUUCACAAGUUCCCUGCUUGACACAGAACAGAUGACGAAGCUCAAUGAAAUGUUUCCGAAAACAAAACUGAUCUUUGAGAGACUGAAGAGUGAGCAAAACAAGAAUGAAGAACGCCGUCUAAUGAUUGAACACGUUCAAUGGAAAAUAAGACAAACAUGGGAUUUACUCAGAAUUCAAGAAGAGAAGCAGGCUGAGUUAUAACCUAAUUUAGCCUCUUAUACUGGAUUUGGAAUUUCAUUAAAAUGUAUCUGUCUCAAUGUGAAGCUUAAUUGUAAUCUGGAGGUUAUGUCAAUAUCAUAAAAAAACCUAGCUGCUAAAGGUUGACAUAAAAUCAGUUGAGAAGAAUGGUUACGGAAACCAGCUGGAGAUCUUUUUUAAGAACUAUUACAUACAUUUUUGAUUCCAUAAAGAAGAUUUUUUACUUAUUUCUUAACAUUUUUCAAUGUAAACUUGACAAACUUGGCAUGAACCUUGCUUUGGGUGACUUAAAAACAUGCUUGUAUGAACAAAAUGAUGAAAUACAUUUUUCUGAGA